rnacentral:rRNA from 1 species
UACGAGGGGGGCGAGCGUUGUUCGGAAUUAUUGGGCGUAAAGGGCUCGUAGCGGAUCGCCAGUUUGACGUGAAAUCUCCACCGCUCACCGGGGAGAGGUCGUUGAAUACUACGGAUCUGGAGUUCGGCAGAGGACCAUGGAAUUUCGGGUGUAGCGGUGGAAUGCGUAGAUAUCCGAAAGAACACCGGUGGCGAAGGCGGUGGAUCUGGGCCUGAACUGACGCGUGAGGAGCGAAAGCCAGGGGAGCAAAGCGGGAUUAAGCAAACCCCGUGUACGUCCGAAACCAAAGA